rnacentral:lncRNA from 1 species
CCUGAUCUUUAACCCACUGAGCCACAGGGGAACUUCAAAUAUACACUUUUAAAUCUUGGUUAAAAGAAAAAGUCAGAAGUCAUUAUUUCUGGAUGGUGGGAAUAUUGGAAAUUGGCAGGAGUGUAGUGACACCCGUUGUUUUCAUCAAUUCAUCUCCUUCUCUUUCUUCUGGAACAGAAGCUCUCCUACCUCUGGCAAACCUAUUUCUUAUAUUUCAAGUGAAAUUUGCCUUGAUUCCACCUCCCUGGGCCGUUGGCUCACUCACCUGACCAAUCGGAAUGCUUCAUUCACAGCCACAGGGAUUGGCUCAAGAAUGUGCAUGUGAUAUACACCCAACCAAUCAAGUCCCUCCCAGAGACUUUUCUACCCCAGCUCUGGGAAAUGACAUUUCCAUUCUGGUAGGUUGUUUGGUUGAUAGGGAUUAAUGUGGGACUAAUAGUGUCCACUUUUUCCCCCAUCUGGAGAAGGUCUAUUAGAGAAUGGAUAGGGAGAAAGAUGGUAUCCCAUUAAUAUUUUGAGCCUUGGACACAGUCAUGCCUGAUUCGUCCCCAGAACAUCCUUAUGUUCUGUUAUGUGAGCCUAUGGAGAUCCUAAAUCAGUUUGAGGUUGAUUUCAGACACUUACGGCUGAACAAGUUCUGACUUUUAUGCUUCUAUUUUGUUCCCCUCCAUCUUAUAUAUUUUCCACAAUGAGCAUGUAUUGCAUGUAGAACAUGUUUCAGAUAGAAAGAAAGAAGGAGGGAGUUCCUGCCGUGGCUCAGUGGUUAACGAACCCAACUAACACCCACGAGGACGCAGGCUUGAUCCCCGGACUCGCUCAGUGGGUUAAGGAUCCAGCAUUGCCGUGAGCUGUGGUAGAGGUCGCAGAGGCAGCUUGGAUCCCGAGCUGCUGUGGCUCUGAUGUUGGCCGGCGGCUACAGCUCAGAUUCGACCCUUAGCCCGGGAACCUCCGAAUGCCACGGGUGUGGUCCUAAAAAGCAAGAAGGGAGGAAAGAAGGAAGAAAGAAAGGAGAAAAACAGCAAUCAGCUUCAUCUGCAAAGGGCUGGCUCAUGGAUACUUCUGCUCUGAGGUGUAGGCUGAGCCUGCCUGAUGUGGGGGGGGAGGCCAUGGUUCGCCUCUGGCUCCAUGAUUCCACUGGUCCCUCUGAGGCUUCCAGGCCUGACUCACCGCUUCCAGACAAAAGACUCCACUCCCCUAAAUCAAGAGCACUGUCAAAUCCACCUUUUCCGGCACCCCCACUGGUCUCUGCUUUAAAGUGAUAAUUAGUAUAAAGUUGGGUAUCUUUUUCCCUCUGGGAGAGAAUAUUCUUUAACGGGCAUGAAGUGGAGCAGCGUAGGCGGAUUUAACAAGGAGGUAAGGAUGCUUAUAUAAGUGGCAUUAUUAUAUGUGAUUAUAUCACCGGGGUAAGAGAAACUUAUUCCUCCUUGGGUGUUAUACCAAUCAUUAAGUUUUAGGCUUGCAUGAAAUAGAGGGAUGAAGAAAAGACGUGUUCUCUCUCCCUCCCCCAGCCCCAGAAUCACGUCAAUACUUUUUCAGCCUUACUGUGUUCCUGGCACUGUUCUAAGCUCUUUCCAUGCACUAAAUGAUAUGAGGGACAUAUCAUUACCAUUCCCAUUUUGCAGAAGAGGAGAGUGAGUUAAAGACAGAGAGAGCACAUAAUUUGCCCAGGAUCCCCUAGCUGAAAAGGGGGAAGGUCAGGUUCCCAACCCCCGCUGGUCAGGUCCCCACAUCCACAUUCGAAACCUCUCAGACAAGCCUGGUACAAAACCCCAAGUCAACAAUUCAGGGGAGUUCCUGUCAUGACGCAGUGGAAACAAAUCCAACUAGUAUCCAUGAGGAUGAGGGUUCGAUCCCUGGCCUCGUUCAGUAGGCUAAGGAUCCGGCGUUGCCAUGAGCUGUGGUGUAGGUCACAGACGCGGCUCGGAUCCCACGUUGCUGUGGCUGUGGUGUAGGCCAGCAACUAUAGCUCCGAUUGGACCCCUAGCCUGGGAACCUUCAUAUGCCAUGUGUGUGGUCUUUAAAAAAAAAAAAAUUCAGACUUUUCAGUUUGGUCGAAUACAUCAUAAAUUAGUCAUGGGGGUGGGGGUGGGGGGAUCAGCCCAACUAUUUUUGUUUUAUCUUAAUGACAUCGACCUCGCUUGUGCAACAUCACAAUAUCAGGAAUUACUCUAGCUGAUGUGCAUACAAGGCAGAGGUCUCAACCUGGAGGGCCAUUGACUAGAUUCAAGUCACAGGUGUGUUUGCUUUGGCUGGAUCAGGCUAUCUUUCAAACUGUUUUAAAUGGGGCUGUCUAGUCUACCACAGUCCCCUCUACUCCCUAAUAUCUUACACCCUGUACACUCAUUUACAGGGAAUCUGAUGAUAAUAGCAGCCUUUGAUGUAACAAAUGCUUGGUAACAUAAGGAGAAGGAAACUCUUUUUGUUAACAAUAUUUGCUAACAAACAGUAAGUGCUGGAGAGGGUGUGGAGAAAAAGGAACCCUAGUACACUGUUGGUGGGACUGGUGCAACCACUGUGGAAAACAGUAUGGAGAUUCCUCAGAAAACUAAAACUAGAACUACCAUGUGAUCCAGCAAUCCCACUCCUGGGCUUCUAUCCUGAGAAAACCACGACUCACAAAGACACAUGUACU